AUGAACGCUGACAGAAUGCUUAACACAUGCAAGUCAACUUGAAUUUGGUUUUUUAACUUAGAUUUGGGUGGCGGACGGGUGAGUAACGCGUAAAGAACUUGCCUCACAGCUAGGGACAACAUUUAGAAAUGAAUGCUAAUACCUGAUAUUAUGAUUUUAAGGCAUCUUAGAAUUAUGAAAGCUAUAAGCACUGUGAGAGAGCUUUGCGUCCCAUUAGCUAGUUGGAGAGGUAACAGCUCACCAAGGCGAUGAUGGGUAGCCGGCCUGAGAGGGUGAACGGCCACAAGGGGACUGAGACACGGCCCUUACUCCUACGGGAGGCAGCAGUGGGGAAUAUUGGACAAUGGACCGAGAGUCUGAUCCAGCAAUUCUGUGUGCACGAUGAAGUUUUUCGGAAUGUAAAGUGCUUUCAGUUGGGAAGAAAGAAAUGACGGUACCAACAGAAGAAGUGACGGCUAAAUACGUGCCAGCAGCCGCAGUA
rnacentral:rRNA from 1 species